rnacentral:rRNA from 1 species
UACGUAGGGUGCGAGCGUUGUCCGGAAUUAUUGGGCGUAAAGAGCUUGUAGGUGGUUUGUCGCGUCUGCUGUGAAAAUCCGAGUCUCAACCUCGGACUUGCAGUGGGUACGGGCAGACUAGAGUGUGGUAGGGGAGACUGGAAUUCCUGGUGUAGCGGUGGAAUGCGCAGAUAUCAGGAGGAACACCGAUGGCGAAGGCAGGUCUCUGGGCCAUUACUGACACUGAGAAGCG